UACGGGGGGGGCAAGCGUUGUUCGGAAUUACUGGGCGUAAAGGGCGCGUAGGCGGCCUUCUAAGUCGGACGUGAAAUCCCUCGGCUCAACCGAGGAACUGCGUCUGAUACUGGAAGGCUUGAAUCCGGGAGAGGGAUGUGGAAUUCCAGGUGUAGCGGUGAAAUGCGUAGAGAUUUGGAGGAACACCAGUGGCGAAGGCGACUUUCUGGUCUGUAACUGACACUGAGGCGCGAAAGCGUGGGGAGCGAACAGG
rnacentral:rRNA from 1 species